CUACGUGCCAGCAGCCGCGGUAAUACGGAAGGUCCAGGCGUUAUCCGGAUUUAUUGGGUUUAAAGGGAGUGUAGGCGGUUUGUUAAGCGUGUUGUGAAAUUUAGGUGCUCAACAUUUAACUUGCAGCGCGAACUGUCAGACUUGAGUACACGCAACGUAUGCGGAAUUCAUGGUGUAGCGGUGAAAUGCUUAGAUAUCAUGAAGAACUCCGAUUGCGAAGGCAGCAUACGGGAGUGUAACUGACGCUUAAGCUCGAAGGUGCGGGUAUCGAACAGGAUUAGAUACCCUGGUAGUCCGCACAGUAAACGAUGGAUGCCCGCUGUUAGCGCCUGGCGUUAGCGGCUAAGCGAAAGCAUUAAGCAUCCCACCUGGGGAGUACGCCGGCAACGGUGAAACUCAAAGGAAUUGACGGGGGCCCGCACAAGCGGAGGAACAUGUGGUUUAAUUCGAUGAUACGCGAGGAACCUUACCCGGGCUUGAAUUGCAGAGGAAGGAUUUAGAGAUA
rnacentral:rRNA from 1 species